GAUAAACGCUAGCGGCAGGCUUAACACAUGCGAGUCGAGGGGCAGCAUAGAUUGUAGCAAUACAAUUAGUGGCGACCGGCGCACGGGUGCGUAACGCGUAUGCAACCUACCCGUCACAGGGGGAUAAUCCGGAGAAAUCUGGUCUAAUACCGCAUAACAUAUGGAUCGGCAUCGGUUCAUAUUGAAAUUUUCGGAGGUGACGGAUGGGCAUGCGUAGCAUUAGCUUGUUGGUGAGGUAACGGCUCACCAAGGCGACGAUGCUUAGGGGGACUGAGAGGUUUUCCCCCCACACUGGUACUGAGACACGGACCAGACUCCUACGGGAGGCAGCAGUGAGGAAUAUUGGUCAAUGGGCGCAAGCCUGAACCAGCCAUGCCGCGUGCAGGAUGACGGCUCUAUGAGUUGUAAACUGCUUUUGUACGAGGGUAAAGUGGGUUACGUGUACCUUUUGAAAGUAUCGUACGAAUAAGGAUCGGCUAACUCCGUGCCAGCCGCCGCAGUAA
rnacentral:rRNA from 1 species